UAUUCCUCCUUCUAGUGUUAGAGCUGCAGUCGUUUACUAACAGUUUUAUUGGACCAGCUGGAUCAAUAUUCCACGAAACCACCACCACUUGAUCACAAAACUUUUAAAUUAUUUGAAACGUCGGAAAAAGUGGAGGAGUGCUCUGAGGAAUUGUUUCAGAUGAUCCCAUCAUCACGCUAUUACCAUCGCACCACCCGCCACUGGAGUAGAGUUCAUCUAUACUACCUAGAGCCCCUGUGUUCGUCCACAGUGCGUUUCCAGAGAUCUUUUUGCCACGUACCAUCCGGCUUUGGAAUGAGCUCCCCACCACGGUGCUUCCCAAGCGCUGUGACAUGUCCUUCUUCAAACGCGGCUUUUGGAGAGUACUUUACGGUGGGCAGAGGCUUGUCUCUGCUCCUGGCAUUGCCGAAGUCCAUGAGCGACGGUAACCACUCAAUAUCAGGUCGGCAAUAUGCUCGUACCAUUGCGUACCAGGUCAAUAAAAUAAUAAUAAUAAAAUAAUGUUACCCCUGGAAGGCGAUGCUCGACUUCUGCGAGUCCACCAUCUCGCAGAAGGAGGCGGCGGAGCGAGAGAGGGAGAGCUCUUCCCUUUCCGCACCGAUUCGUCGCCGUCGAGCCGGGGGCCGGAGGCGGGAAUACGCCCGUACGUCCCGGCCCCUGUAGGUGGCGGCCUCCCCCCGGUGAAGGUCAAGGGGCGACCUGAGGGGGUGAGGCCGCGCGGCGCGCUACCAGCACUCUAGCGCGCUGCCGUGGAGUGAAUAGAGCGACCGGUCGACGGUGUAUCGCGUCCCGACCAGGCAGGCUGGUUCUGGUCCAGCGGGGUAUUCCGGGACACCAGCGGCACCGUCUGGGCGGCCCGACGGGCUGCCGUACCGAGACGGCCGACGUUUCAGAACCUUCGAUUCGCCUCGAAGGCUCCGUCGGCCGGGCGUCCUUGGGGUGAGCCGCGCCGUCUGGUUGUAGUGUUGACCGCGGUAGCCCCCCUACCUCAUCCGGGUUCUGACCUCGGAGGGGAUCGGACGUCGGGUGUAAGAGUGCAGAGGAGUCGUUUAGUGGGUGGGCUCUAAAAUCCUUGGGCCCGCGGUCUGCUCACAACACCAUGCAGAUCGUUGAGUCUCACAUACCCCGCGCGCCCCUUUUGCGCGGGGACCUCGUAGGAGGUUCGGCCCUCUACCCGAAAAAAAAAAACAAAAAAAAAAAAGGUAAAAGUAACGCCAUCUAUCGCCGAAUGGUCGAACGAAUAUCGAAGGAUCUAGUAAGAUCUACAACGCUCGAGAAGUACGACGCCAUCUGCUGUCAGAUUGCGGAAAUACAAUACUCGACUUAUAUGGAAUAUUCUCGAUAAUUCUAGGGAUGUGGUAUCGGCUAUAAAAGCGUUGCAGAGAUGGCACGCAGUUACUCAGUAAUCGGUACUACUCGAAGCGAAACAGCGAACGGAUCACCUGAAGCGAAGUAGAAGAAGCGAAUUUAAAAUUUUAAGAACACACACGGCGAGCUCGCGAAUUAUCCUUCACUGAAAAUUAAUUCUGACGUGGCCGAUAAAAGCGAUUCAAUAUUUUUUGUUGUACCAAAGGAACCUGGGUUUGACUCGCAUCUCGUCAUUAAUGAUAUCAUAAAUGCGAAUAGACACGGUCUUAGUCAUGAAGUCGAUCAUCCGCAGAACGUACCUAAUUAUUUUACAGACGAUAACGUUAAACACAACACCGAAUCUGCAAAUGACGAUGCUGCAUAUAUACUUUAUCAUCUUCUUAGGAAUACCAACAACAACUACCAUUCCGAUUUCAAAGAGGCGAAAGACAGCCUUCGUUCUGCUCUCAGAGCCCAAUGCGAGAAAGCAAAACGCUGCAUCCUACAAUGUCAAAAGAAUCAGAUAGAUUGCCCUGUUAUCUGCAAAGAAAGUUACGACGAAUUCAACAUUUGCGCAUCGUAGAAGCCAAAAAGAUGCAAAAAAACGAAAUGCGGAAGGACUUUGCCCCCAAUUGGUUGUAAACGUAUUUGAAUUUUCGAAUUAAACGAAUAAUCCGUU